GACGAACGCUGGCGGCGUGCUUAACACAUGCAAGUCGAACGGAAAGGCCCUUCUUUUGUGGUGUGCUCGAGUGGCGAACGGGUGAGUAAUACGUGAGUAACCUGCCCUUGACUUUGGGUUAACUUCAGGAAACUGGGGCUAAUACCGGAUAGGAGCUCCUGCUGCAUGGUGGGGGUUGGAAAGUUUCGGCGGUUGGGGAUGGACUCGCGGCUUAUCAGCUUGUUGGUGGAGUAGUGGCUUACCAAGGCUUUGACGGGUAGCCGGCCUGAGAGGGUGACCAGCCACAUUGGGACUGAGAUACGGCCCAGACUCCUACGGGAGGCAGCAGGGGGGAAUAUUGCACAAUGGGCGGAAGCCUGAUGCAGCAACGCCGCGUGCGGGAUGACGGCCUUCGGGUUGUAAACCGCUUUCGCCUGUGACGAAGCGUGAGUGACGGUAAUGGGUAAAGAAGCACCGGCUAACUACGUG
rnacentral:rRNA from 1 species